UUUUUUUUUGUUUGAUAGUGAUAAAAUUAACUUUUUUUUUUCAAAACAAUUUAAUUACUUUUUAUUUUUUUGGUAAUUUUUUUCAAUAAUAUGUGACAGGUAAAAAUUGUUAAAGUAAAAUUGUCUAGAAGGAUUAUGGACUGUUUAGCAAUUAAUAUUUUAAAAUUUAAUUUACAAUACUAAACAAAAUGUUCUUUAUUGAGUAAAGCUUCUAAAAAAUGUAUUACUAAAAAUAAGGUUGAACAAAAUAAGAAUUUAUCAAUACAAAUCAAUUUUAAAUGAUAAUAACAAUAAUAAUAUUAUAUCGUUUAUAAGACAUUGUUUAAACAAACAAUGUAUAACAAAAGAAAACAUUUAAGUGUACGCAUAAUUGAAUACUGAAGCUUAAGAUUUUAUAUUCAAAUAGUAUUGAACAUAUAAGCGUCCAAAGAAAAAAAAAAUAUAGGAAAAACUUAUCAAAUAAUGUAAUGAAACUCAAACUGUUUUAUGAAAUAAGAUUUUUUAAUAAUCUGAUUCCUAAAUGAUAUACCUAUCAAACAAGUUAACAUGUGUUAGUAUGUUUUAAGCACAUAAUAUGUCUUAAUGUUUAUCACCAUUUAAAACAUUCAUUGUAUGUAUGAAAAAAAUGUGUUUAAAAAAUAGGAAUGUUUGAAAAGAAAUAACGGAGAGAGGAGUGUGAGCCGGAGGAGGAAGAAGGAUAUCAAGGAAAAAAGAUAAGGGCAACUCGGUCUUUUCCAAAAUUUAUGGGAGUGCGGGAUGAAAUGUACAAAGGUAUAGGAAGAAAGAGCAAAUGAAAGUGUUGAUUUUCUAUCUUCUUACACACCCACUCACAGGGGUUACUCCCUGUACCUUCCCAAUUCCAAUCCACACCCUCCCAUUCUAUUUUUACCCUUUGUUCUAUUUUUUCUAUUCCAAUUUUAUCCUUUAGCAAAAAUUUAUAUUUAGAAAUAAAAUUUUAUAAUUUUAUUCUCCCACCCCCACAUAACCUAUUUAUUCUUUUUUUUUAUUUUCAUGCUUUCGUCUUCACGCUUUCUUUCCAGGAAUUCUUUGUUCUAUUUUUCUAGAAAUUCUUUCUCCCAUUCUUCUUGUAUUUCAAGUGAUAAUUGAGAUAUCGAUUUCUUCUGAAAGAAUUUGUCCUUGAAUUAUUAUAUCUCUGCAUUACAUUGGUGUGGUGGUGUUGUAUCCAACCUUUAAGCAGUGAUCCUCUUCNNNNNNNNNNNNNNNNNNNNNNNNNNNNNNNNNNNNNNNNNNNNNNNNNNNNNNNNNNNNNNNNNNNNNNNNNNNNNNNNNNNNNNNNNNNNNNNNNNNNNNNNNNNNNNNNNNNNNNNNNNNNNNNNNNNNNNNNNNNNNNNNNNNNNNNNNNNNNNNNNNNNNNNNNNNNNNNNNNNNNNNNNNNNNNNNNNNNNNNNNNNNNNNNNNNNNNNNNNNNNNNNNNNNNNNNNNNNNNNNNNNNNNNNNNNNNNNNNNNNNNNNNNNNNNNNNNNNNNNNNNNNNNNNNNNNNNNNNNNNNNNNNNNNNNNNNNNNNNNNNNNNNNNNNNNNNNNNNNNNNNNNNNNNNNNNNNNNNNNNNNNNNNNNNNNNNNNNNNNNNNNNNNNNNNNNNNNNNNNNNNNNNNNNNNNNNNNNNNNNNNNNNNNNNNNNNNNNNNNNNNNNNNNNNNNNNNNNNNNNNNNNNNNNNNNNNNNNNNNNNNNNNNNNNNNNNNNNNNNNNNNNNNNNNNNNNNNNNNNNNNNNNNNNNNNNNNNNNNNNNNNNNNNNNNNNNNNNNNNNNNNNNNNNNNNNNNNNNNNNNNNNNNNNNNNNNNNNNNNNNNNNNNNNNNNNNNNNNNNNNNNNNNNNNNNNNNNNNNNNNNNNNNNNNNNNNNNNNNNNNNNNNNNNNNNNNNNNNNNNNNNNNNNNNNNNNNNNNNNNNNNNNNNNNNNNNNNNNNNNNNNNNNNNNNNNNNNNNNNNNNNNNNNNNNNNNNNNNNNNNNNNNNNNNNNNNNNNNNNNNNNNNNNNNNNNNNNNNNNNNNNNNNNNNNNNNNNNNNNNNNNNNNNNNNNNNNNNNNNNNNNNNNNNNNNNNNNNNNNNNNNNNNNNNNNNNNNNNNNNNNNNNNNNNNNNNNNNNNNNNNNNNNNNNNAAAAGAAACUAACCUGUCCGAAACGAACGAAGCAAGAACCACCGCCCCGCACCGCCGCAACACCCGCCGCACCAGCACCCUCCGCGCCGCCGCACACACUGGCAAGUGCACCGACCAACACACCCGCAAACGAAACCAACGUCUACCACCUCUCCGCACCGCGCCGGACCGCUACACAAUCACCGCACCGCCACCCACCGCACACCAAAACCACCAGACCGCACAAAGCAACGGAAAGUUCAGAGGAGGACUGGGAGAGUGAGAGUUGCAAAGAGCGUUUUGAAAAUGAAAGGUUUGGUGGGGGUGGGAAUACGAAGGAGAGGGAAUGUUUGGGUCUGUGUGUGUUUGACUGAAGCAGAGUGUAAAAGAGGUAGGAUAGGUUAACUUUAGUAAAUAGGGGUAAAAAGAUAAAAUUAAAAAAUUCAAAAACGUUAUUUUUAUAUUUAAAAAAACAUCCAAAAAAAUUGGGGGGUGGGGAUUGGAAUUGGGGAGGUACAGGGAGUAACCCCCCUCACACAACCCAAGCUAAAGUCCACCAUAGGAAAAGAAAAUGACAUUACUUCAUGCAACUCCCAUAAUUACUAAAUACACCCCACAAUAUUAGGAAAAGAUUCCCGCAUCCUAUCUCUGUGUGUGGAUAUGUAUUUAGGUCUCAUAUCCAUUAGUUUAAUUUCUUCGUGGAUUUUUUUUCUUACACAAUUUUUUUUUCUCAAUUGAUUAACUUGAGCAAUAUCUACUUAUUUCAUUCAAAUUACAAAGUAUUAUUAUCAUAAAUUUGAUUACAUAUUUGUUUAUUUUGUAGGGUAUGAAUGUUUAUCAUAAGGAAGUCUUUCUCUUUUGAAGUAGAAAAAGUGAAAGGUUACUCAAAAUUUAAUCUUAAGAUUUGAAACACUAAACAUAAUUUUUUAAUUCAAUCAAAUUAUUAGAAAAUAAAUUUUAAGUUUAACUCAACUCCACUGUUUGUAAGAUAAUGAUUGCAUUUCACUUAUAUAUUAUAAAUUAAUCUUAUUUCUAGUCGAUGUGUAACUCAUAUAAAAUACUUAAUUGAUACGUAAAUGUAUAAUAAAGUAUCGAUCUUAUACGGGUAAUAUGAAUAUAAGUGACAUAAAUUCGUACAAUCUGCUUAAUCAUUGACCUGUAUUUGUUUUAAGUAAAUAUGUUACUCGAUUGAUAAAAAAAUUAUUUUGCAUGAAAAAAAUAAUUUAUAUAAAUAACGUCUUACAAAAUUAUAUAAUUUAAAAGCACCUUAAAUAAAAUGGAAAUCCUUUUAACUGUUGAGAAGUUGAAAGUGUUAAGGAAUGAGUUGGUGAGUGAGUAAUCAAUUGAAAGAUUUGGCAGUGAUUGCAGUCUUGAGAAUUCAAAAGCACUGCAGUCAAGUUCUUUUAACAAAGAAGCCGCUUUUGCCAAAGUGAAAAAUCUUUGUACUUUUAAAAUGUUUGUAAUAACUUUUUCUUCUUUCAGUAUCUGGCAACAGAGAAAAUCCAAAAGAAUGGUAAAACACAUUAUUGUUGGUUUAGGGAAGAGUUUUUAACAAUUUUUUUGAGAAUAUAUACGUGAUAGUUUAUAAUUGGUCUGUUUUAAAUAUAUUUUUAAACAUAAAUUAAAAUAGAUGAAUAAAAUAAUGAUACGUAUCAUGUUGUCAAAAAAUUGUUAAAAAUAAUUAUAAAAAAAAUAUGAAAAUGCUUUAAACAAUGGUAAAACACAUGAUUGUUGGUUUAGGGAAGAGAUGCUCUUAUUCCUUCUUCUUGGUUGCCAUCAUAUCAAAUACAGCUAAGCAUCGAAUAAUUUCUGGAAUUAAUUCCUUAUUCAUAUACUCUACUUUUUCUUCGUAUAAACAUCAAACUUUUCCAUUUUUUAUUUUAGCAUAAUGAACCCUAACACUUAUUAUAUCAUUUUUUCACAGUUUCUUAAUAAAUUAUAAAAUUUUAAAUGAAACAGACUUAAAUAUACUUUUAUCUUAUAAUUUUGGGUUAAGUUUGUUUAAUCCUUUAAAUGUAAAAUCAAUUGUUUAAUAUUUGUGAUUUGAAAACAAUUGGGUCUCUGUGUCCAAACGUCUCGUACUAAAUAUUAUUAAAAUAAGUACUUUAAAAAAUAAACAUGUAAUUUGGUAUUUGAUUCUAGGAAUCUAAAAUUAAUUAUCAUAUAAAUUUUAACCCAUAAAAUUUUAAUCAUAAGUGAAAUUUUAACCGCAUUCAAUAUUAAUAAAAGAGUCUAAUUUUAAAUUUGAGAAAUUAAAAGUAAUUUUAUUCAUGAAUAAAAACCUAUUAACCCAUACAAAGAUGCAUAAAUAUAAUGUCUUCAAAUGUAUUUCUUUUUUUAAAUAGAAAUUGAGUUAUUCUUUUCUAUUUAACCCACUUACUCAUAUAUAUUUUACUGAUUAUUUUAUUUAGAUUUAGAUAAUAAUAAUUAUAACUACCAAAAGACUUUCCAAGGAAGCAAUUGGGACAAUUUUAUUUUUGUGAGUGUUGCUUUCACCCUUACAUGGGAAAUGACAACACGUUUGUGCUGAGUGCCAAUAUUGCGCACUCGUGUAUCACAAUUUAACUUUUAAUUAAAUAUAAUUGGUGGCACUUAGUAGUAUUUAAUUGUAAUAUUUCCAUUUCAAAAUACAUAGUUUUUUUAUUAUAUAUAAAAAUAAAUAAAAAUGACUGGUACUCUAAUGUUGAAUUUCUAUUAUAUGUCUUAAAAUUAAUUGCUUUCUCUUUCUUAAAGUAAUAUAUUUAUAAGAAAAUAAAUUUAAUUUUAAAAAGUAUUGUAUUUAUAUUUUAAAUUAUUGUUAACGUGUGUUAAAUAACAUUAAAAUAGAAUCAUUAUGAAAACGAAUAUAGUAUUUAAUAAUAAAUGUUUUUCUUUAACUUUUCUUGAAUUUUGAGUUAAAAUGCAUUAAUGGUCUUAAUUAAAUUAAAGAAUGAUCUAAUAAAAUAAAAUUAAUUAAGAUUUGUACUGUGGUCAACAAUACCAACACAGAAAAUAUAUUUAAAAAAGUAUUCUAAUGUUGAAAAAUUAUGUUUAAUAAAACAGUAAAUAUAUUUAUAAAAGUAUUAAAUAAAAUGUAUUUAAUGCCUUGAAAAUAUGAAACAUUCAAUAUUUACUAUACAAAAAAGUUAACGCUCGAAUUUGGAACCAUUGUUGGUGCAAUUGAGAAGAAGCUUCCAUUAAGGAAUGGUCACGCAACUUAGCAAAAGAAAAAUGUUGAAAAGUAUAAAUUCAAAAAGCAUUUACGAGGACCUAAGAAAAAAGUGUCCACCAACUCCUAUUCUCUUUGAGAAAACGUAAUUCGGAAGACUUCAUUUCGAUGUGCCAAAUGUCAAUUAAUUAAAAGAGAUUAUCGUCAUCUUUGCAAUAAGUGUUAACGUGUAAGGGACGCGCUUGCAUGAGUAGAAUUGCUUAAGCUAAUAUAACUAAAGAAAUUAAAUAGGACCAUUCAAGAAGAAUAUGACUAUCUAUUUAAAUUAAAACUAAAAUUUUACCUUCAAUCAUAAAAGUUUCGAUUAAGAAAUUAACAUUAUGACUUCAGUGUCUGAAAACGAUACUCUAAAUUUUAAAUAGAGUCCAGAUUAAAUGUAAAAUAAUAAUUAUUUGAUUUAAUAAACAAAAAUACCGAACAAUUACUUAAAUAAAUAACGCUUGGAAUUUGAUGUAAAAAUCUUUGUAUCCUUGUUCGAUUGCUAUAAAUACAUUUAAAUAUUAAUAGUAUGUAAUAUAAAUGUUCGAUUUUUCAAACCAAAUAUACAUAUUAAUUAUUAUGCAGUUAAAAUAGUGUAAAUUAUUCUAAAUUCAAAUCUUAUAAUAAACAAACUAAAAACAAUCUCUUCCUACCACCGUAACAACAGCAACGCAAAAUAAACCUAAUGUGUUAACUUAAAAUGGUAGGGCGAUUUCAACCGUAGAUUUCAAACAGUUAUAUUUAGUUACAAGACAUAAAGCUAUAAGAAUGGAAUGAACCAAACCUUCUUCAAGAAACUAGAUUUGAGGAAAGAAACUGCGUCGAAGACAUUUUUGUUUCAAGCUAAGUAAAAAAAACGUCAUCGCUACAAAAAAAUUAAGGUAAAUUCACAGCCAACUUCAUGAAUAAUUCGUACAAAACAUAAAAGCUAAAAACUCAGAAAAGAGCAGCACAAAUCUAAAUAUAAAAUAAAUUGAUUAUGUACUAGAAUCAAUGAUCACAACAACAACAGUAAUACUACUCAACUCAUACAAACAAUAUAGAUCCAGCAAUCAAUACAUAUAAUCUCUACAUAGGGACAUGAAUAGAGAGAAAGAGAGAAUUAUACACUAAUGCUACUCAAAUCUCCACUCCUACUAAAGUUCCACACAGGUAAACGAGAAAAUCCAUGAGCUAAGCUCAGAUCCGAAGAGAAGAACCGAAGGCAAGAGCAGCAACAGCGCCAACAACCCCGGCGACGAAGGACGGCGAAACAGCAACGGCGGGAGACGUCGGACUCGGUGCCGGAGCGUCGGCGGCGGAGAUAACGGCGACGAGUACCGACAUUACGGCGAUGAACAUUGCUUUAGAGAAAGCCAUUGGAUUUAUCACAAAUUUUCUGAUUUCUGUGUUUAGGGUUUGGGUUGCGUUGGGCGCAGUGAGAGUUCGUUUUGAGGAGAGGCGAAAAUGGUGGUUUAUAUAGAAGGAGGGAGGAGAGGUACGGGCAGUUCGGGUAGUUGCCCGAAGUACAGACUGGCAAUAGGUCCAUUGCCAGCUGGAUCUGCUUCUAUUCUGAAAAAUCAGGUUUCACAUGACUAUUUCACCACGACGCCGUUUCGCUCGCCUGAGGUUCCUUGUCCCAGUGGCUCGUGCUCUCACUUUCACGCACAACAUCUACAACUACAAUGAUUAUUAUUUAUAAUAAAUUAUGCAUGUGAUAAAUACAUUUUCAGUUUAUAAAUUUUUAUACGAAACUAAAAUUCAUGUAUAAAAUUUUGGUCUCUAAAUAUAUAUAUAUAUAUAUAUAUAUAUAUAUAUAUAUAUAUAUAUAUAUAUAUAUAUAUAUAUAUAUAUAUUUAUAUAUAUAUAUUUAAUUUGACGUGUCACAUUUUUGUGUUAUCAUAUAAGUUAUUUAUAUUAUUUAAUAUAUUUUCGCUUUUAUAAUAAAUAAAAUUUUUGUUUUAUAUAUUAAAAAAAAUUAACUUAAUUAAUUAAAAAAAUUACAUUCAUUCAUUUUUAAAUUUUAAUACUAAAUUAUAUCAAAUUUUUAACACAAAUUUUAAUUUCAAAACUAAAAAUAUACUUAAUCUUACGAUUAACCUUUUACAAUAAUAUGUAAUAAAACAUAUUUACUUGACAUAUAUUUUGUUUUAUAAUUUUACAAUUUUAAAUUUUCAUAAUUUUAAAAGAUAAUUUGUAAUUUCAUAAUUUUAUAAUUUAAAAAAAUAUUCAUAUGUAAUAGAACACAUUUAUUGAUAAUUUCAUAACUAUACAAUUUUAUGAUUUUAAAAUUUCAUAAUUUUAAAUUUUACAAUUUUACAAUUUUAUGAUUUUUAAUUUCACAAUUUUAAAAAUUUUAAAAUUUUAUAGUAUAUUGUAACAUUCCUAUUUCUUAUAGGAUUCAUUAUACUUUAAUAAUAAAAAAUAGUUAACUUAAGAAAAGUAUAUAAAAUGUUAUUACAAAUAAUCCAAAAAUAAUUUAUAAUAGCAAAUAUAUAUUAAAACCUAGAACAUUAUAAGAUAAUAUAAUGAACCAUAAAUGUGAUAAGGUAAUUAUAUUAACGAACAAAACUUGAAACUAAAUAUUAUGUAUUACGUCUUAGAUCUAGCUCUUCUUAGCAUCUAUUUCGAAAGAUAUUUCCCUGAACUCACGUUACAUAGGUGAUUAUUGCAAAAAAAAAAAAAAAAAAAGAAGCAAAACAAACAGAGAAGAAAGGGUAAGGUAGUUUAUCAAAGAAUACAUAUAAACUUGUUAUACAAUGUCAUUCUUAUAAUUCAACUAUGAACAACCAAACAAUAUUCAUACACAUUUUAUCAUUAAUUCUAGAUUGACCAUCCAAAUACAUGUAUUGAUAUCGAACUAUAGUAGUCCUGCCUUUAAGGUGGUAUAACAACAUCAACAACAACAUCAUCAUCCCCAUCAAUCAAUCAUCACACUCCAAGGUUAAUCCUUUCAAGCAUCUAUGACUAACGAAUAACCAAUAGACUAGGGACCUCGUGCUACUUUUCACCACAUAAUCAUCUUUGUCUUCUUGAGACUGGAGGUUAUUGAGAGCGUCAAAAUGACCUCUAAUUCUAGCUUCCUAUAUCAAUACAUACACAUACACUUACACACUUAACCAUUUCAAAGGAAUUUUCCUUGAACUCCUUAUAACCAUCAUUUACAUGCCAUCACUCUUUUCCAUCAUGUUACAUCAAAUAAACAUUUCACGAAAUAAAUCCAAAAACAAAUGAGAAAUAAAAAGCAAUAACAACCAAACAAACUCAAACCACUCGUCUAGCCAACAGACACAACUCAUCCAGUCAACACAGACAACUCGUCCAAUGAGAGUCCAAACAGGGAGCCUCCCUAGCCCAGCGAGGAAGCUCGCCUAACCCUUACUUUACUACCAAAACCCCCAAAGACUCUCCCAGAGAGCAGUCCCUACUCGUCUAACAAGAGCCAAAAUAGCAGGCUCCCCAAGCUUAGCGAGCUGGCUCGCUCAGCCUCUGGAACUCACUACCAGAACUUGUGACACUCGGGCAUUGACAAGGGCGGGGAGUGAUCGCCGGUGCAAGAGGCACAAACAAGGAGCGGCUCCUGGCAGGCUUCCAGUGGAAAGGGCACAAGAAUCAAACAUACACCGGAAUGAGACUAUACAGUUGAAGGAUAGCUUAAAGGAAUUAAUUUGGCUAUUCAUAUCAAAAAAUGCAUUUGCUUCUCGAUAGCCUAACCCGUAAGAACUCCAUGGUUAAACGUGAUUAGCCUGGAGUAAUUUAGAGAUAGGUGACCUUUUGGAAAGUUUUCCUGGAAAGUGUGCGAGUGAGAAUAAAGCACAUUGAAAAGCCUAACCCGUAAGAAAUCCAUGGUUAAACGUGAUUAGCCUGGAGUAAUUUAGAGAUAGGUGACCUUUUGGAAAGUUUUCCUGGAAAGUGUGCGAGUGAGGAUAAAGCACAUUGAAAAGCCUCAUGUUGAUGUGUGGGGGCAGUCAAUAUUCACUAUAAGUUGUCGGGGCGUUACAGAACUCAUAUAAACUCGUCCAGCAAGCUACUCGUGUUCGCCUAACCUCGCUGCAUAAUUCUAGAGCACCAAAACUGAAGAAUUAACACUCCUAAAUCUCUCAUAACCUUUUCUAACCAUUUUUACCGACUUCUAACACUUCCAUUUUGUACUUUAAGCUACAAAUAACUUGUCCAAACAUGUACGAUUCAACUAAAACUAAAACUAAACUCGUUUUGUAAUGAAAUUCUAACUUAAACUAACUAUAACUUCAACCUAUAGACCAUAACUCAAAUUUACUACUUCUAACUCGUAACUUAGUCAUUUAGGGGUAUGACCAAAUCACAAAAGACACAAUAACAUACCCCAUACACACCACUUGACUUAAGUCCACUUACUUUGAAAACUUACUACUUAGAACCUCUAAAAUGCACCAAAAUUCAGUUUAAAACACCACUUACUAUUUACUACAUACUUGUAGACCAAUUAUUUACUAAUUUACCACAUAACUAAGUCUCAAAUAAUCACACAACAAUUAUUAACUUACCAUAUCUUCUUGUAGACCAUUAUUUCUCAAACUCACCUAUCCGCACUUCCAUUUUUAGGCUAAAACUGACCUACAACCAAACUUAACCAUUCUUUUCCCAAAAUUCCCAUUAAAUAUCAUCACUAGCUUCUCAAACAUAGGAAUUCAACAUUGGGAUCAAUUCCAAACAUAUUCAUCACCUUCUAAAACAUUCAACCAGAUUCACACCACUAAAUUCAUUCAAUCAAACAUGCAUACUAUGACAUAACACACAAUUCAAGCAUCAAGGUUAACAUACAUUCAACUCACAUACUGUUAACUACCAAACUUUGUAGCUCAAUUAAAAGAAAUCACUAGCUUCAAUUACCUAUUUAGAAGACCAACCACUUUAGAGUCCUUAUUUUGUUCACAUAGCUUGAGAAGGUCUAUCUGUAUUUAUAAAAACAAAAACAAGAUCAUGAUAUAUCGUUAGUGUCACUGAUCAAUAACGAGUCUUAUAAAAGACUUGAACCUUAUAUACAACAGAAAAAAAAAGGACCAAAGAAAAUAGGUGGAAACUUAACUUACUCAAAUGGAGUAACUGAUCGGUCUGAAUUGUAAAGAUCGUCGUCAAAUCACUCCUACGGUCUCAGUUCUUCAAUCAGAUGAACAAAGAAGAAUAAUUUAUAGAAAAAAGUUAAAGAACUCUAGAAAAGUGAUUUCUAGAGAGAUUUUGUGUUAUAAAAUAAUAAAACUCAUUUAUAACAAAACUAUUUAUAUUAAAACUAUUUAUAUUAAAACCAUUUAAUAUUAAAAUAAUUAAGUCUCACUCCUUUUACAUCACUACUUCUAAAAUGUCAUUUUCUAGAAUAUUAAAUAUAUAAUUAUUAAAUUUUAUAAUUUUAUAUAAUUAACUUUAAAAACGAAAUUCAUUAAUUACGACCAACUCUUAAGAAAGAUUUCAUCCCCAUAUAUUUUUUAACAAAAUAUAUGACAAGACUUAAGUAUGGUGAACAAAAAGGAUAAUUAUCAUCUUAUGUCUAGAAAAUCUAUCGAUUGAAAAGUUAUAAAAUUUAUAAAUUCAAUAAUCAUAUAAAUUUAAUUGAAAUUCAAUUAAAAGUUGUGGGACUCAAAAUUUAAUUAAAUUAAUUUUAAAUAACAUAAUGUUUUAUAUUUAGUUAUAUCUUUUUUAUUUUUUGUUUGAAAAAUUCUUCAAAUUACUAUAAUAUUGCAAUAUUACUUUUGACUAACAAAAAAAAUGUCUAUUAUAUUUUGUAAUUAUUAGGUCAUAGGAAAACGUGCAGAGAGGCGCGUGAACGGAGAAAACCUAAAAAUUGAAUUUAAUGUUAUUAAUACCAUCUAAAUGAUAAGGUAACGUUGCUUCUAAAGUAAGCAAUUAAAAGCAUUUAUUCUUUUACUUAAUUGUUAGGAAAUUAUUAAUUUUAUUACAAAGGUAUUUAGAAUAACAAAUUAGUACGUGUGUAAUUAAAAUUAAUUAAGUUUGAAGUAUCAUUUUGGCUAUUUAUGUAUGAUUCUGAGGAUGGGAAAAAAUUAUAGACGCGUAAAUAAAUAAAAUGAUUUAGGUAAGUGAUGCUUAAAAAAACUAUCAUAAAUUAUGUAAAAGUUUAUAUUAUAUAUAUAAUUAUUUAUACUUAUCUAAGGAAUUUCUGUUUUUUCCAUAUUUACAAAAUAAAUAAAACUUACUUAUAAUAAAAUUAUAAAAAUUAUUUAUCUAACUUUAGAAUUAUAAUAAUAACAACAAUAAUAAUUUUAUUAUUUUUUAUUACUCGUUAUAUAAAACGGAUUUAUUCUUUUUGUAUAUAUAUUUUUUGUUUUUCAAUUUUAUCCUUAAUAAGUAAUUUUCUUUUAAAUUAAAAUAAUUAUCUUAUUAAUUAUGUUCUUUAAGGGAUUUUUCUAAAAUUUAAUAGUUUUUAUUUGACUUUUUUUAGUUUAACCAUUUUAUAAAAUUAAAAUAAAUACCUAUAAAAUACCUAUAAUAAUAAAAAAUACCUAUAAAAUAAAUAAUUUUUUAAUUACAAUAAUUAUUUAUACUUAUUUUUACAAUUAUAAUUUUAUUAUCCUUUUAUAUCAUACAAAAAUGUGAAGUAUAAAAAUAACUAUUUAUAAUAAAAAAUAUUACUUACAAAAUAAACAAAAAUUAUCAAUAACAAAAUUGAGAAAAUGAUUUAUACCUGUUUUUAUAAUUAUAAUUUUAUUUUAUUUUUAUCAUUAAAAAAAUGUCAAUACAUAUGUACAUAAAACAUAUAUUUUUACUAGUAUAUCAUAAAUGCUUUUAUUUGUUAAAUAGAGAAAAAAUAACAUAUUUAUUUUCCCAGAAUCCAUUGUGUAUCGUUUAUGUUGAAUUUUUUUUUUCUAUUUCCAUUGUGAUAAUAAUGAAUAAUUUAAGAGUAAUAUUGAUAAAUGAUAAUAAAUAAAACCAUUGAUAACAAAAUAGUUUUUAUAAUCUAAAUCAUUUUUCUUCACUUACAUUUUUCUUUAUUAAAAUGUCUAUUAAUGAUAUACAAAAUUUAUAUAUGUAGGAGUUAUGUUUGUAUCUUUUCAAUGUAUUAAUUAUUUGUAUUGCGAUAGAUAAUCUUAUGUAUACAUUAGGAGCUUAAAAUACAUAUUUUUAUUUAUGUUUUCUCGAGCAUUGUGAAGUAUUUAUGUGAUGAAGGUUCUUUAUGAUGUAUUAGAUGCAUAGAGUUUUUUCUCUGAAUAUUUUAAAAAUAAUAGUAAAAUAUUGAAUUAAGUUAUUUGUUUGAAACAUUGAAUUAAAAGUUAAUAAAAGUAACUGUGAUUUAGUUGUAUUAAUAAAAUGUGUGAUGGCUCUUAAGUCUUACACAAAUUAAUUCUUGAAAAAUAUAUAUGCUUAAUACAAGUUCUUUUAUAUUGAAUGUAAAGAAAAGUAUCUUAAUCAAAUAAUUAAAAGAGAUAUAUUUUAAAGAUUAAAUUACAUGAAAAUUUAAUUAAAACCCUAAUUAUCAAUACACUAGUUUUUGAAAAUCAAUUUAGAUAAUACAUUAAAAUUGGUAAUAUAUUAUUUAAUAAAAAUAGCAUACUUUUCUUUUUCUGCAAAAUUUUACUAACUCACGAAAACGAGCUUCCUAACUCUCAAGGAACAUUUUUCUUUAUUGUUAUUUUUUUAAAAUUAAAUUAAAAAAGAAAUUACUCGUUCAACUUGAACAAUCAUGCAAAAGUGUCUUUACCCAUUCAUUGCUAUUCAGAUUUUUAAACAAUGAAUACAAGAGAAUAAUGUCAUUCAACUUUAAAAAACGGUAGUUUGUGAUCAAAUCAAUUUCAACUCUUUUAUUUUUUUCCUUAGGAGAAGUUAAUUCCAACAUUCUUACAUCCAAAAACAUUUAACAUAAAUAAUUUAGAUCUUAUUAUAUCAUUAAAAAAGCCAACUGAAAUAAAUUUAAAGUAGGAAGGGGUAUGUCAAACCUUUUUCCUCUCAUCAUAAAUUAAACAAUUUAAUAUAUUCAUACAAAAAACUUAAUUUAAAAAAAAAAAUUACCCAUAACUUCUACUUUAUUGAUAAAAUUCUUAAUAUGAACUUCAUCUGUGAAGUAACAUUUAGGCCAAAAAAAGAUUAGGCCAGCCACAAAACCUUAGUUUAAGAAUAAACUACAAGCUCCUUAGUAAUAAAAAAGAAAGUCAGAUGCAAAACUGGGAUUCCAAUAAAUUUGAAGUCUCUUGGCCAAAGAGAGAAAUGAAAGAAAAAGUAGAUGGGAUGAUGCAAGUUACUUUUAACUCCACAAGCAUAAGUAUCUACACCAAUGUUCUAAGCUUGACCUCCAUCCAAAUCAGGUUCCUCAUCCAUGUCCUGCUUCCUAAUUUCGUAUGAAAAGUCUUCAUCAAGAUUCUCCAUAGUUCUUCCAAAAAUAAAUGACUUCGUUCCCAUUGUUGUAAAGGGCAUCAAGCCAAAUGCUCGAGCAGUUUUUAUCUCCCUGGCAACCUUUCUUUGAGCCUUUGCACUGAUGCCGGUCUAUUCAAUGAUCAUGAAGAAACAGUGUUAAGAUCUCAUAGUAUAUAUUUUAUGAAUUCUUCAUAAAUACUUACAGAAGAAAAGAUGAGAACCUUUUAUACACAAGUUAAAAAAUUAGGUUUCGGAAAAACUAACAUGAAAUAACUUGUAUAAAUUGACUUACACAUUAACUAAUUUUAACUUUUGGAAAAAAAUAUUUUUCCUUCAUAAUAAUCCUUCAUCAUUCUUACAACAUUACUGUCAAUUUUAGAACUUACCUUGCUUCGCUUGAUUAUAAUUCCUGCCUCUGUUAUGAAAUUUGCCAGGAAUCUUACAUUCUGCAUCAAAACAUAAAUACUACUAAGCCAUUUAAAAAAUAGCAAUAAUAUUUAAUAGGAAGAUAAUUUGUCAUAAAGGGAAAUAUGUUACCAUAGUUUCACUAACAAGAAUGAAGGAAAAGAUACCAUGGCUAAACAGAGUCGCAACAUAUAUUUACCUUGCCUUCACUCAAUCUAAAACUGACUAACCAUAAAUCGAUUAAAACUUUAGAAUAACAGUAAGCUAGCAAAAAUUUUAGGCUUGAAUUGUAAGUGAAAACUUUACAAGAAAUUUUCAUACAACUUUAUCAAAGUGGUUCUAAGAAUGCAGACAAUUUAGAGCCAUGGAUCAAAGCAAACUGGAAGGAUAACUUUCUGCUUGUUCAUAUGAAUCUGUAAUCUAUAUCGGUCAUCUUUUAUUUUCAUAGUUAACAUAAAGACAUCUAAUUUAACAUUAAGACACAUGGGAAAGGUCAUGAUGGUAUGGGUUAAUAUAUGGUGAGUAAUGUCCACAAACAACCUGACAAUCUACAUAAGAUAGUUUUGACAACAAAAAUGUUUUUAUUCAUUUCCAGUUUUUCUUUCACCAAGACAAUGCAACAAAGCAACACACGGAUUAACAAAACAUUUAAUGAGAUGUGAAAGUUUUUCUUACCAUGAGAACAUGCAAGUCGUGAAGUUAGUUUUACUUUAUCACAAUAGUAAUAUACAAAAACAGAAUAUUUAUGGAAGUGAUAGUUUUCACUGCAGCAUAGCAAUCAGAAGUAUAUGGUAGAUGCAUUACUAUAAAGGAAUUACUCUAACACAAGUGCUAACCCUGAAAUCUGCUUGACUGAGAACUUCUUUGGUGGUUACACGGAAUUCAUCCCUCAUGGGAGGCUUGCGUACACCAGGUUUGGUAAGAUCCAGAUCCUGUAUGAAGAAAGAUACUGCACAAAUUAAAAAACUAAUAUGUACACAUAAUACAAAAUAAACAUUAACAGAGUAAAGGUUGAGAUAUCAUGCAGUGAAUGGGAUAUUGUAGCCAUGGUUGUUUAUAGCAGACAAAAUAAGAUUGGUGAUAGGAUCAAAAGCAUUUAACAUUAUUGGUUAAUCAUACAUACCAUUGAAUAUCAACAAUCAGAUGUGUACAUGUUAAUUCAUCUAAUCUAAAACCCUUCAAUGCAAUAGACUGAAAUUAUAUGUCAAAUUAAAAAGAAUAAACAAGAGACGGACAUACAGAUAAAGAGUAUCAGUAAUUCUGUCAAAUGACAUUCUAAAAAGCCACUGCAACACAUUUUCUUUAAUGAGGAGCAUCAAUUAAAAGGGUUAGAUUUGAGGGUUAUAAUAUUUGUGGAUCAUGAAAGAUGAGAACACCCAUUCAAAAUUUCCCAAAUGCGUAUUCUUGCAAAAAAGAUGUAUUGUCUCCAUGUUUAAUUGAUACAGUCAAUAAUGAUACCUACAACACACAAGAUAUCAAGAAAUUCAAAACUUCUUUCAUUACUAUCUAACCAUACUCACAUGUCUUUAUCUCACCCACCCGAAUGAUCUCAGCUAAUGGAUUGCUAAUCCCAACCCUUCCCAACAUUUUCUAACACCCAUACACUGAUGAUUACUGAUCACACACGGCCUAGACCAUUACAACUCUUUUCCCACCCAGUCAUAGUUUGCAAAUGUUCCUUUUGUAUACCCUCAAUUCUGCUACUCAACCAACCAAGACCCAUUGUUCUUAUCAUAUUUAUAGUAAUAAGGAGCAUAUCCUAUAUAAUCAAGAUCAUACCUCUAUAAUUAGGAACGUUUUGUUUAUUCUUGUACUAUACCUUUAUUAUUUGAGGAUACCAUAUCUCAAUUUAUUUUAUAGAUUCAUUUCUCUCAAUACAAAUAAAGUAUCCACACUGUCUCAGAAAAAUACAGUUUCAGCAUAAUACCACCCUUUUUACUAGAGCUCAACAAUUCUUUUUCUUUUAAAAUAACUUGUGAAUAUCUCUUUAAUGUUGUUUUUUUUAGACAUAUAUACUAUAAAUUAUGAUUAUUUUCACCCUUUUUACUAGAGCUCAACAAUUCUUUUUCUUUUAAAAUAACUUGUGAAUAUCUCUUUAAUGUUGUUUUUUUUUUAGACAUAUAUACUAUAAAUUAUGAUUAUUUUCACCCUUUUUACUAGAGCUCAACAAUUCUUUUUCUUUUAAAAUAACUUGUGAAUAUCUCUAUAAUGUUGUUUUUUUUAGACAUAUAUACUAUAAAUUAUGAUUAUUUUCAUUAAAGAUCUAUAAUCUAAACUUAAUGCCCAUCCUGCUAUUCCAUUAUAUAGCAUUAUUGGAGCCUGUCACUUUGUGCUGCUAUGAGUAUAGAAAAAAUACCCUGCGAGACACUCUUCACCAUAUUUCAUUUGGUACCUCUGACCAAACAUGUGUAUAAUUUAUCACUACAUCAAUCAUCAAUUUCGACAAAACAUUUAAUGCCCUCAUGCAUAUGACAGAACCAAGCACAAACAAACAUCUAAAAUUAAAGAUAAAUAUAAAACAAUGAUGGCCAAGGAAAAUAGACAUCGUUAUUCAACUUACCUUUAUAUCAUAUGUUGAACCAGGUAUGAAAUCGGUAUCGUAUCGAAAAGCAUAAUCUUCUUUCUCAAUUUCAUCCUCAUCAACUUCAAAGCAUGUGGCAGCAUUCUUCAGGUUUUCAUCCAUUCCAUCAGAUAACGAGUCAUCAUUUUCUUCUAGAUAAUCCAUCAUAUGAAAACCAGCACCAUUUCCAAAACCAGAUCUAUGUCGAGCCCUUCCCUGUUGGCUAAUCUUUUCAAGAAUGGAAUCAAAUUGGGGAAAUCUACCACGAUUUUCUCCAAACAUCCCAAACUCCUCAGGAGGUUCUGACUUGUUAGCCUGCUGAUCACUGGUUUGAUUAUCUGCUCAAAGAUUGGGCAGGAAGAUCAUAAGGAAUAAUUUUAAUUUCACAGUACGGUAAAAAAGAAUUUUAAACAACCUUAUACUAUUUUUGUAAAUUGUGAUUCUAGCACAGACCAUCAUACUGUUGAAAUUAUAUUUACAUGAGUUGGGUAUAGUAAUAAAUGUUAAAAAAGUCCCAAUUAUAUGUUACAUGCAAUGUGCAGAAAUCCAUUACGCCUGUGACACAGAACACCUGAAACUCUCAUCUGAUUAAAGCUUAAAUCCAUACAGGUUUACUAUAUAAAGUUUUUCUUUCCUUCUUAUAACAAAGAUUAUGCUAACCAUUCCUGUUUGAAUAUUCAACAGAAAUAUUUACUUCCUUUUUGGCCUACUACAUACAUUGAAAAAUAAAAACUCAGAAGUGUAGUUAACUCUUCUCAGUACUGAAAAAAAUAUACAAAUACCUAAGAACAUGAAGAGAAACAAUUACAGGACCCUACUUAACACGGAAACAGACAGAAGAUGACAGAUGAUGGUGACUAAUCAACUUUAAAAAACAGAAAAAAAUGCUGCACAGUUUAAAGAGUGACAAGAAGCAUAAAAAGAAUAGCAUAGAUUUUUCUUAGGCUUGUAUUUUGCCUAUUCUAGUUUCUAGUUUCUUUCUCUUAGUUUGGUUGUAAAGAAGUUCUUAGGCUUGUAUCUAUGAUCAUAUCACAAAGAAUACAUUUUUUCACAACAUACUUGGAGAAUCUUCAACUAUAGGCAGUUCAUUCUAUAUUUACCACAGCCUUGGUGACUCAGACUGGUAAUUCCCUAUUUUGCUUUUCUCAAUAUUUGGUUAUUGAAUCCUUGGGUUGGAAUUUCAUGCUUUUGAUCGUAUUGUUGAUAAGUUGGUAACUUCUUUUAUCAUCCCAAAUUCAUCUCUCACAAAAAUUGCUUAACACCCUUGCAAACAGCCUAGAGAUUAAAGCUACAGGCAUUGGUCAAGAACCCUCUUCCAUUCAUACCUUUGGAUUUAGUUCUUCUCUUUCUUGAUUGUCUAUUAAAUCUAGCUUCAGUGAACCAACUGACCGUUUCCUUAACUGUUCACCAACCUUUUUCUCUAAUUCCUUCAACAUUUAUGGAAAGAUUAUUGGUGCAUGUUUUUAUUCAUUCAUGCUGACUAAUCUCCUUCUGUUGUUAGUACUGGCACUGAAUACAAAUCUCCACAUUAUCUGAGCCUAAAUAAGUACUAAAGAAGGAUUCUCAAUCUCUCCCAUUUGUAGUCUUUUGAAAUGUGAAUCAUGUCAGCUAAAUAAUCACAAUAGUAAGUCUAAAUUUCAACUCAGAAAUGUUUAUUCAGAUGUUAGGGACCAUCACAAGUUAGCUCAAUCAUGUGUCAUAUCAUAAUGAGUUAGUUUAGCAAAAUCAGCUUGCAUGUGACAAUUGGCUGUGACUGUUCUCAACUGUUUCUGUUCUUUGUAGAGCAAGCUAUCUGUAGUUGUAUAAUCUUUGUUGUGACAGAAUUCUAAAUGUGAUGAGAAAUAAAAUUUCAAUUUUUAACAGUGGUAAGAGGCAGGCUGGCAAGUCUAGACCUUUUGGUUCACAAACCAACUUUCAAUCAUAGAGGAGUAAAGUAUAAAACAUUCAAAAACUCAAACUUCACGAAAACCAAACACAUAUAACGAAAUCAUCAAAAUCAAUUACCAAAAUAUCAGCAACAAGGCUGACCACUGCUUACAAAGGAGACAGUUCACAGACCAAGUACCUGUAAAUCCCCAAGUGGAAAGGCUUCUGAACAUAUGAGUCUGAUAAAACUGAUGGGACAAAUUGACACUUAGUGACCUAACUGCAACUGAAACAAUCUUCAUUUUGUUCCUGCUUCAAUAAAACAAUUGCUUAAACCCGUAAAUUUAUGAGCUCUACACUAGACUGCACGGUAGCUAAAAAUAUAACACCACACAAAUCAAAGAGAGAAAUUAUCUCACUUAUGUUAACCUGAAAUCUAAAUGUUAAACUAAACCAUAAGAGAUGUCUCAAAUAUUUCCCUAUCCAAAGAAAUUAUAUCACAAAAUUUCAAAUGAAAACAAUAGCUUUCAGUUAUAUACCUUCAUAAUACACAUACAGAACAUAUAUACGGAUACGUUUAAGAUAACACCUCUCACACUCCAAAAUUUAGCAAGAGUAUAUAGGGAUACUGGCAAUUUAUUUUGAAAGUCAGCAUUCAGAAGAUGACAGUGCAAUAAACUUAAAUAAAUGAUAUUAUCCACAACAACAUUAAGUUUUAUAAGCAUGGUUAUCAAACUAAUCGAUUUUAGUGUAAAUUCGGUAGAAUCGGGUAGCAUCGGUGAACUCGGCCAAACUCGCGAUUUUGCAACCGGUGGCGAGUUCCAAGAGAGGAUUUUUUAAAACUCAAAACGACAGUGGUUUGGUGUGCAAGAGUGAAGAAAACUCACUGAUUAGAGGAUUAGGGUUUCACUCUUCUUCUUCUACUGCCCCACAGUGGUUAGUUCCUCUUUCUGAACCGCUCGCGGUUGAGUCACAGACCGUCGUGCGUCGCGCGCCCUCGCCGCCGUCGUCUGCGGCAGAUUGGGAGGAGAAAAGGAGACCACUGCUCCCUGCACCCUUUCGUUUCGUGUAAGUGGAGAGUGGGUGUGUGAAAUCUUAAAUAUGACAAGAAAUGAGGUAUGCUGAAAAAGCAAUGGAGGGCUUACCUUGCCAGAAAAAUGAGAAGUUUUCGGUCUCCAAAUUUAAGGGUUCCGAGUAAUGGAAACUGAAUGUUUAUUGUUUGAAGAAGAUGGUGGCGCGGCGGCAAGACACCCCUACGACGUCGCCUUAUAGUGGUGGCUAGAGCAAGGGAUUCCCUCUGUCUGUCUGUUACAGGUAGAGCGGCGUCGUUUUGCUUUAGUCUCAUGAAAAAAUAAAUCUUUAUUGGCCCGGGUCACUGAAAUUCGCCGGGUCAAGUCCGAUUGGUUCGGGUCAUAAUGUUGCAAACACUUCCCAGCCCGUUUUCGUCAUUAACAUUAAGUGUCACUACGUUUUACGUUUCAAGUUUGGAGAUUGUGCCACCUCCAAGCUUUCAUUUUAUAUAUCCAAUUUUUUUCUUAAAGUCUAAAACAUCCUUUAGAUAAGAAUAAAUAUAUCUUUUCUUCUAUAAUUACUCAACUCACUUAUAUCCAUUUUUUCUAAUAUGUAUCUCUUUUUACUUCAAAUUUUAAUUUAAAAAUUUAAGGAAUUUUGAAAUAUAAAUUCACUUGAAGAGAUUUGGUGGAGAGUAAUAGCAUGAAUUUGAAAAGAUUUGAAUAUAAUUUUUUUUUAUUUGAGUGGAUUUGGAGAUAAGUGAAAGUGAGUUUAGAAGUAAAGUUUAUAAAAAUUAGUGUAUAAUUUAAUUUAUGUGACAGAUUAAAAAAAUUUAUUUUCAAAUUCACUUUUACUUAUCUGUAAAUCCACUCAAAUAAACAACAACAGAAAUUAUAUUCAAAUCCGCUCAAUUUCACUCCUUGAAAUUUCUUCAAGUGAACAAAGUACGUUUUGCAUUUCGAAUUUUCCGUACUCUUCGAUUUUUUUUUUGUUUAAAUCAUUUUUUGGUCCUUAAGUUAAGUGUUGAUGUUUAGUUUAGUCCCCGUUUUCAAAAGUGUAAACCUUUGGUCUCUAUGUUAUCAAAUUUGUUUAAUUUUAGUCAUAUUCGUCUAACGGUGUUAAAAUUGUUAACGGUAAAAUUACUGUGAAACUGAUCUGUAAAAAAAAUGUUGACGUGGCAUUUAGUUGACAUAAAAUCAAUUUACGUGGAAGUCAAAUUUGGGUUACGUGUAUGUAAUUUGGGAAAAAGAAUCGUGUUGUGAUAGCCUUCGUCACUUUGGUGAAGUUAAUUCCAGCACUCGCAACAUCUAAUUUGUACCUAUCCAUGACAGUGAGAAGUUGUUUCCUGACAUCCUGGACUCUUCUCAACGAUCGAGAUUGAACAAAGUUCUCAAAACACCACGGCCCUGAAAAGUUCUUAGCUUUCCAAACCUCAUAAACAGUAAGUAGAGUACGAUGGUCACCUCUGGCUGGAAAAACUUUGCCCUCUUCUGAUAUGCUCGACCUUGCUUUUCCCUUGGCCUGUAAAAAAUGUUUCCGGUUUGAAUCAUGGCAAUUAUGGUCAAAAUCUCAUCACUGCAUCCAAGAUCCACACUGGCAAGCAUAAUCUUGGACAACGGUGGAUCCAAAGGAAAUUCUGCCAUUUUCCUCCCCAGUUUGGUUAACAAGCCCUCUUCAUCCAAUUCUCCAAGACUGUAAAGCUGCUCCAUAACAGAAACAUACGCCUGAGGUGAAAACAAAUCCAUAAAAUCAAAGGACAAUAGAUCGUUUAUCCCCAUAGAAACCUAUCCAAAAUCAUUGCGCCACCACCUGCAGAGGAAAAUAGAGAAAACUCAAUCCCAAAAUCAGAAUCGAAAAGAAGAACAGAAAACCCUCAAAUCUUAAAAUGGAACCCUAAAUCGCGAGACGCGCCAACAACGAGCACAAACCCUUGUACUACGAAGUCGCCAAAGUUGAAGCCUUGAGGUGAUGCCACUGUUGCCACCCCCACGAAUGGGAUCGUCACGCUGCAAAGACGAAGUUGCGUCAGCCUCCCUUCCUUACGUGAAACGAACUUGAACCGAGAAGAAAGAAGAAGAGGAAGAAUGGCUAACGCGUCGCCACGAGCCACCUGGAAAUUACGAAGACGCCAUCAGAGUCGCGCCCUGUCCACGUCAUCGUCGUCACCUCCAAAUGUCCCACCAGCAUGAAAUGCAGAAAAAAGAAAAAGAAGAAAGCCUCCAUAUUUGCGAAAUCACAAAGACAGUCCAAGAUUGAGUUUUUCUGCGAGAAGAACAAGAAGUCACGCUUGGAAAAAGUUUCAGAUAUUAUAUUAAAUGCCACAUCAAUUUUUUUUUUUUACAGAUGAACUCCACAGUAAUUUUAUCGUUAACAAUUUUAACAUCGUUAGACAGAUAGGACUGAAGUCAAACAAAUUUGAUAAUAUAGGGACUAAAAGUUUAUACUUUGAAAAGCGGGAACUAAACUGAAUAUCAACACUUAACUUAGGAAAAAAAGGAUUUAAAUCUUUUUUUUUUCUUUUGUCCGUUUCAUACAAAUUUUAGAUUGGAUUAUAAUGGGUUUUAAUGUUUUUUACUUAUCUUUUCUUAGGGGGUUGAUCCCUGUACCUCCACAUUUUUGGCUUUUUACCUCCCCAUUUUUUUCUUAAAUUUUUGUUAUAUUACAAAUAUAACCUUUUUUGUACUCUCUAAUUUACGUUUUUAACCCUCUCUUAUUUACCUAACCCUAGAUUUACUUUCCCAUUUGACUUCCUCCCUCACGUAACACAAAACCCCACUCCCAUUUUCUAUUUCACUAAGGCUAACACAGCACCCCCACCCAUUUCCCUUUACUCGUUUUCAUUUUUUUUAAACUCUGACUCCCAACUCCAGUCCUCUGUUCAUCUGUGCAUUUCGUGGUGGUGCGGCCUGGGUGUGCAGUGGUGCGACGAGUUUUUGCGGCGGUGCGGCGACGGUGGUGCUUCGUUUCUGCCGGUUGGUCUUCGAGAGGUUAGUUUUUCGUCUCUUCUUCCGAUUGAUAGAGAAAUUUUGUUCGUUUCGGUUUCUUCUUGGCGCAUAUAUGUUGUUGUUUCUACCAGAGCUUAUUUUUUCGUUUCGUUUCUUGAGUGUUGUCAUUUCUGUUUGUUUUUUUUAAUAUAUGUAAUACAAAGUGUUGCGUGUUCUGUUUUUCUGUGUGUGCAUGUUCUGUUUUUCUCUGUGUUUCAGUGGUAGGAGGAAGAAGACACUAGGCAUCUGAAACGGAUGUGGAUAUCCGUCAACGGAUAUCGACCUCCGUUCAGGCCAACGAUACUCACAGUAAAAGAAAAGAGAGCACAGAAGGAUUGGAAGAAACAACUAUGAAACCGAACGAGAGAGCAGAAGGUGAGAAAAUAAAAAUUAGGUUUUUUAAGUGAAAUUAAAAUUAACAUAUAAAAUAAAUUUUACUUAAGGGUAUAAUAGAAAUAUAGAUAAAAAAUAAAAAUAUAAAUAAUAAAAGAAGGGAUAAAAGUGGGAUAAGGAGGUGGAGGUUAAAAAUGUAAAGAUACAGGGAUCAACGCCCCUUUUCUUAUCUUCGACUAUUGGGCUUGUAUUGGACCUCAAUUUAAAAUUCAACAAUUUUUUUUUCUCUUUCAAGUAGAGCAUAAUAUAUAAUAUAAUUAAUAAAGAAGUAAUAAUAUUAGAGAAAUAUAAAAUAUUUAAAAAAUAAUAUAUUAUAUGAUCAAUUAAUAAUAAUAUUCCAAUGAAAAUUAUAAAAAAAAUAUUUAUGGCAUCAUACAAUAUAUUUAGUUGUUAUGCUAUUUAUUUAUGUUUUGAUACAUGUAAAUUAUUGACUUUGACAAUGAAAUGUGAGUAAAAUUCGGAAGUGUAUUUUAUAUGAAUGGAAAAAUGAAUUAAUGUGAAGCGAUGUUUCUUUCUUUUCUUUCCAUAUUUUUCAUUCGAAAAUAAAACUUUAAAAAAAUUUAAAAUUAUUACAAAAUCUAAUACGUAUUCAUCUAUGUGUUUUAAGGUUCCAUUAUUGAACAUGAAGUUUUUAAAGAAUUAUAAGAUGAAAAAUUUUGAUGGAGAAAAUGACAAUAUUUACUUUAUAGUGUUUGAAUUUUUAAAUUAGUUUACUCAAUCAUUAACUUGAUAACUUAAAAGACAUCUCGUUACGUGAAUGAACGACAUUAAAAAAAACAUUGAAUAUUAAAAUUAAGAAAAAAAAAUAGACCAAAAGAAAAAUAUAAACAUUUACCAGAAAAUAAAAUUAAAAAAAAAAAUCUAUACUUCGUAUAAUAUUUUGUAUGUGUCAAUUAACGAAUAAUUUAUCAUUUAACAAGCAUUACAAAAAUUAAAACCGAUCAGAAGAAAAAAAAAAAAAUAAAGGGUUAAACAUGUUUUUAGUCCCUUGGGGCGAUUUCGGUUUUAGUCUUUUUUUCAAAUUAAGGUACAAUUAAUCUUUCAAUUUUAUAAAACUCUGAUUUUAGUCUUUUUUUAACAAAUGUUUUUAACUUUAUUUACUAUUUCAAACACAAAAAUAAAACACCAUAAUAAAAAUUACAAAUUUAUAUUAAAAAAAUUAUUUAAGUCAACUUAUUUUGUACACACAUACAUGUAUUUAUAAUUUUACCUAUGGCACACGCAAUUGUCAGCUUGUCACUGUCGAAAAAUGUCCAUUUUGAGUUAGGACAACCCUAUGUUGAUAUUUAGCUUAGUUUGUCAAUAUUUGUGCCAAACUUAACUCUUUAACACAAAAUUAAUUAAUGAAUGAAAGCUACGCAUAAGCAUACUUUUUCUUUAUUUUUUUUUAUGAAAAUUGAAUAUUUGGUGUAUUUUUUUAAUUUUUACAAAAUAAAAGGAUAAAAAAUUAAUAAAUGAAAUAUGGAAUGAGCAUAAUAUAUUAUAUUUUGUUAUAGAUAUGUGUGUUUUACAUGCAUAACAUUGUGAUAUUUGACCAAAACCAAAAACGAAAUACUAUUUUUCUCUUAAUAUGAAGUAUGAAAUGCUUGAUCCAAAUGGUAAGGCGAAACUCUUAUGUCCAUGAAUUACAAAUAUGAAAUAUUGUUUUUUGGUUUAAAAAAGUAUGUAUUAACAAUUCAAAGUAGGUGCAGAGAUAAGGUGAAUUUAAGGAAUAAUGGAUCGCAUUUACAUCAAAGUUUUAAUCUUAAACUUUUAAGCAAUCAAAAAUAAACUUUAUUAAAAGCAAUUUAUUAUAUAUUUUAUGAUUUUAAUAUAAUUAAUAAUCAUAAAAUUGAUCUAACAAAUGUUCAAAUUAGUAUAAAUUUUAACAUCUCAUUAAAUAAUAUAAAACAGUUAAAUAAAACAUUACAAAUUUGUAAUACACAAAUUAAUAUAAAUUAGGAAACAUAUAUAAUAUUAAUAGAGAUAUUUAUCUUAAUAACUAUAAAAAAAUAAUAUACGUAGACACCAAACCAAAAUUACAAGAGUAUUUUUUUGAGUAAAAAAAAAACUCUUAUACUACCAAUUAGAUAAAACUAUACAAUUAUUUUAUUGCAUUAUCAUUUUCCAUCAAAGGUAUAUUUUUUUUUUCACGUUAGAAAGUAAUCAUUGUAAAAGAAAAAAAAAAAAUACAAUGUAAGUUAAGUUAGUAUGCGAACGAAACAUCACAAAAUAAUUAAAUCAUAUUAAAUAUCAACAAACAUAAACAAUUGAAAUUAUACUCAAUUUUGACAAGACUUCACUACAUAGAAAUUAUCACCCCUACUACUCACAAGGUUAGUCUCCUUUGCACCUAAGACUAAAAUGUCCAAGUGCUAGAACCUGCUGCCAUUCACUUCCCCACAUCAGUUGAAUGGUUAAUAUAUACCAGGAUAUCUCCUUUUUGAACUCCUAUAUGUCAAAACAUACACUAAACAUCACCACCACACAUAUCACACAUAUCCCUAACAAAAUCCUAAUUCACACACACACUUACCGUAUUCACAAGCAUGCUUAAAGAUUAUAUGAAGAUUAUAUAAAGAUUAUAUAAAUCAUUACCAAACAACCAAAAAGGAAAAAAAAAUUAAACAUACAUAUUGAUGCUCAAGGGUGAUGCCCAAUGCUAAACUUCUAACAAAAGGCACACCUCAACGUCAUUCUUCUCGCAAAAAUUCACGUUCAAAUACCAAUCUCUAUCGCUCGGUAACUUGAAAUUAAAUUGCUUCAGACCUGUAGCCAAAGAUGAAGUUCAACGCCCAACUAGUACCGCGCAACGUUACAACAAACUUAAAUUUUUGAUUUAAGUAAACUUGAACCCGAUCAAUUGCUCAAACUAAUAUUCAUUUUUUAUAUAGUUGAUCUAACACGGCUUUUAUACAUUCAAACUUAUACCAAUUUUCUGAAUUGUUCGUUUUUCAGUUCUUUCAAAGUUCAAAUAACAAGCAAACUCAAUUCAAUUCUUAAACCGCAUAAUUCAAUUCAAGCAUAAACACAAUCAAAUUAAACCAACAUACCGACAACGUCAUAUUUAUCAACUCACCCGUAAUAAAUCAACUAGUUUUCCUACUUGAAGGACAAAGCAAACAAUUUAAUGACCCUCAUAACACCCUCAAAUGCACAAAAAGCUCAAACUACCCAUAUGAAGAAUACAAAUAUAAUCCGGACACAUCAUUAAGACCGUUAAUCAACAAAGACUAGCAAAAAGAACAUAAUAUAAACACUACAUCUGAGCCAAAAAGGGCUACGAAUAGAAGAAGAACAAACAAAUCGAGAAAAAGACAGACAACCAACUCAUCUUAUUAAAAAAACUCACCAACUGAUCUUGAUGAAUUCACCACAAAAAAAAAUCCUACGAAUCUUUGAUAUUCAAAAAAUCAAUCAUAAAAUUUUUUAGAAAAAAUAGAAAGUGAACUUUGAAAAAAAAUUAUAGAAAAAAUGUGUAUUUUUAAAUAAUAAAACUCAUUUAUAAAUACUAUAUUUAGAUUUUAAAUUUUUAUUAUUAAAAUAAUUGACUUUUACCCUUCUAAACAUAUUAUCAAUUUUAAAAUAUUAUUUUCUAAUAUGUUAUAUAAGCAAAUAUUUAACCAAAAAUAGUUUGAAUUUAAUAUAAAUAGGCUGAUAAUGUAAAAAUAUUUAUACAAUUAUAAAGUCACAAAAUUCCCAAUGUGAUUAUGAAAAUUUUGUUGACUUUCAUAUGAAAUUUUUACCAAUAAAUAAACGACUUUGAAUCUAAUUAAGAUAGAUUGAUAAUAAAAAAAAGUAUUUAUUGUCAUGUAACUACAAUUUAUUAAAUGAUUUUUUUUUUUCAUAACAAAGAUAGUAAAAUAUACCAAACAUAAUUUUCAACAAGUUGAAUUAGAAAUAUAAAAAAAAAAGAACUUUGCAUUAAUAGCUUUGAAAAUUAAAUUCAAUUAAUUGUAUUCUCCUACCUCUAAACGAGGCAAAACGACUAGGGAAGUUACAAAAGUAGACGUACAAGUACAAUCAUCUUUAAUUCAAGAAAGUAAGCAAAUUCUUUCAAAAUUAAAUUACUUCAUAUAUAAAUCAUGGGUAUUUUUUAAUCAAAUAUUGCAAAAAAUCUUAUUAUUUAAAAGAAAAUACGUAAAAAAUAGUUUCAAAAAAUUAUGUGUUUUUAUAUUAGUGUAGAAAUAUUGCGUAAACAAUUUGACUAAUUUUUUAUGAGAGCCUGAAAGUAAAAUUCUCUAAAAAUGCCCUAAAUGCUUUAUUAAAGCUCUGUUCUAUGAAAACUCUGUUCCUGUCUUGUCACGAAGGAAAAGAACAAGGGAAGUUACAAAAUCAGAGGGCUGAUACAGUGAAGUUUGAUGCAAAACGGUAAAUACACAUUAAUGUGGGUACAAAAAGGGGAAAGAAAAAAUGAGACCAGCUUGAAGAUUCUGCAUCCUUAUUAUUAUUCCUCACACCCUCAUGACGAGGUUGCAACUCUGAAUACGAGAAGUCGUAGGAACAGGCAACACUUGACAACAAAUCCAGAUUCACUCUUUCAUUCAUACAUUUAUUUCAUCAAUUAUCUCCAAAAUCCACACCUACUAGUCAAUAAUACUAUCUUUGAGUACACUUUUUCUUCUUCUCACUAUUCACUCGCUUUCAUUCACUCCAUUGACUCUGCACCACCCCUUUCAUCUUUGGUUGGUAAGAUCACCAAAAUGGAGAAAAUAAAAAUCCUGCCUUUAACUUAUGUUCUUUAGAAAAUCUCUGUUUUGUUUGUUAAUACCCAUGUGGUGUAUCCUUGUUGUUCCCAACAUCACAUGUUCGAAUGUUGAUUUGGCACCCCUGUUAGAUCUCGGGGUGGUUUUUAUGUUGUGGCACAGAAGUUUCUGAAAUUUUGAUGACCAUGUGAUGAAUUUCGCUCCUUUUUAUUCAGUGGUGACUUCCUUCACAUUCAAAAUUGGAUCUUACACAGAACCAAGAGGGUGGUUGCCGUAAAAGAUUUUGUUUUUAUUUUAUUUUUUUGGUUUGAUUUGUAAUUGUGAGCAAGAUGCAAUCUAGGGGUGUGGCACUUGAAGAGGGAAAGGAAAGAAGCAGCCAAUCGAAGCCUUUGAGACCACUGCGGCUACUUGUGUUGUUUUUUGCUCUCUGUGUUGUGUUUUCGGUCAUUAGCAUAUACACGGUUAAGCAUUUUGGAAUUGAGAGUAUGGUGACUACAAUGAGUUCUAAUUUUCAGCCAUGUUAUUAUGAGGAGCCUGGUGGUUUGGAUAAGUGGAUUAGGCCACCUUUGAGCCUGAUCCACAAUAUGAGUGACAAAGAACUGCUGUGGAGGGCUUCUUUUGUUCCAAGGAUCAAGGAUUAUCCAUAUCCUAGAAUUCCCAAGAUUGCAUUCAUGUUCCUGACCAAGGGACCAUUGCCUCUGGCACCCCUUUGGGAGAGGUUUUUCAAGGGUCAUGAGAAGUUGUUUUCCAUAUAUAUUCAUUCACUGCCCUCAUAUCAACCUCAGUUUCCUCCUUCUUCUGUCUUUUACGGCAGGCAAAUCCCUAGCCAGGUAAGGCCAUAUCCAUCUUAUGCUGCUAUUUGUUGAUGAAACUGCACUUGCUCUCUUUACCCCUGUAACACCCCUGAUCUGAAGUUGCCAAUGCUUAAUUGCUGCAAGUUUAGUAGUUUAAACUGUAUAUGUUCAUCUCUGUUCACAAAUGUUAUGUCUUCUUUUAAGUCCUGUUUGUGCUUGUUUUAAGUUUUUUUUUUUUUUUUUUUUUUUUUUUUAUGAGAAUUUAGCUACUGCUGAUGGUGGCAUCAAUGCAUUUGAUCAUAGUUGCAUCUUACUUUCUGAAUUCUGCCUUGUGUGGUGAUGGAUGUUGAUUUUUUAUCAGUGUUAAGUGCUUAGUGUGUCAAGUUGCUAGACUUUUAGGUAAGGAAUUCAGCAAGUCAUAUCAGUGGAUGCAAAACAUUCAGGUUGACCAUGUUUUGAACUUAGAUUCAUAAUGGGCUUGAGUCAAGGUUGUAAUCUUUCAAUAGCAGUGUGAGUAAAAGAAUCACACAUUUUACUUAGAAGAUAAAGAUAGUUUUACAAGGUGAUGUUCUUUUUUUUGAUCGGCAAAAAAUGUAUAAAUAAUAGAACAGUUGGGGUGCUCUAACCCUUUUACAUAAAAAAUUACAUAAUUACAAGGUGAUGAACCAUGGAAUUAGUAAGAACAUAUAAAACAAUAAGUAUAAUACUACCUAAUUAUCUAUAGCUCGUUACCUGUUUAGAAUUGUCCGUUCACGAAAUAUCAUUGUAUCUACAAAUCUUAUGUAGCGUUGCAUGUGAAAGACAUAGGUUUGAGAGAAAGAUAAGAAGAUUAUCCUGGGAAAAAGCUUGAGCCUUGCUUCCUAGGAGAGUUAUGGCAAUACUUAGGUAAGUCUGUAGCCUGGGUUAAGAUACUGUUCUAUUGGAUUAAUUUGCACAUACUUUGGAUUUUAAAGGAAGAAAGAAAAGUUAGUUAAUAGAUUAUCAUCGUGGACCAUUUUAGUGAUUGCUAAGCUCAAUGGCCUUCUUUUUUAAAAUCUUAAGCUAUCAGGUUAAAACCACAAGAUCGGUUCUAGAACCAUUAUUGUCCUUAAUGAGUAAACAAUACACAUAAGCACUCUAUUUUGUGCUAAAAUUCAAAUUAAUUAUGCAUUAUAAGGGUGGAAAGGAUCUAAUUCCAAAUCACUUGGUUAGUGAGGCUUGAGUAUUACAAAGGACUAAUGCUCCUAAGUCUACAUUGUUAGAAGAAGGCACAAUAUUAGUUUUAUGUCUAUUCAUGUUCAAGGACUGCGGUUUUCAAACGUAUGAAAUGGGUAGAGGGAGACCAAGAAUGACUCUACGGGAAGUUCUCAAGAGAGAUCUUAUGAUGAAUAUCUCUAAGGGUUUGGUCUUUAAAUGAGACCAGUAGUAUUGCAUGAUCCAUGUAAUCAACUUCAUCUAGUGGCAUAAUACUGUUGUUGCUUUUCAUAGCUAUAUGGAUUUGCAGCCUUGCAUAUAUGAUGUUCUUGGUUAAAUUAACUCCCUCAAUGUUAGCUUCCUAAUUGUCAGGCUAACUAUCCGUAAAAAACCGAUUUCUUAAAAGCCUUCAAAAACAUCAACCAUGAAUUGAUUUAACUGGCUGGUAAACUGUAAACCGUUAAGAUGAUCCUUUUACUUUGAGAAUUAGAUAAGAUACAAGUCGUCAACGCCUAGGAUAACAUAGCCAGUAAUUUUUUCUGUGUUUUUUAAUGCUUUGAGUGUCUUUGUUAUCUCUGUAAUGGAUUUGUCAAUUUGCACUGGAUGGCUUAGUUUCACAUAAGUAUGAAGCAAUGUUUCCAUGUGUCCUGUGCAUAUCCGUAGUAUUAUGAGCUUCAAUUUACAUCAUGAAUGUAUUAUGAGCUUUUUCAUUUACACCAUGAAUUUGCUGCAUUUUAGAAUUCAUAACUUAAGAUUAGUCUUGUGCCACCUAUUUUGACCUAAGCUAUCUUACAUUCUUUUUCUCAGCAGUGAGUUUUCCAUCCAAGCAUUUAAAAACAUGGAAGCUAUACUUGUUUCUAACCAAUUUACUCUUGAAGCCUCUGAUGAUGAUCUUUUAGUAUUUCUUGUGUAGGUUUCUGAGUGGGGAAGGAUGAGCAUGUGUGAUGCUGAAAGAAGACUCCUUGCUAAUGCAUUGCUUGACAUCUCCAACGAGUGGUUCAUACUUCUCUCUGAGUCAUGCAUUCCCCUUUACAAAUUCAGUUUUGUCUACCAUUACAUAAUGAAAUCCAAACACAGCUUCAUGGGUGCAUUUGAUGAUCGGGGUCCAUUUGGAAGAGGGCGCUACAACGAGAACAUGGCCCCUCUGGUGAACAUCACCAAGUGGCGCAAGGGCUCGCAAUGGUUUGAAGUAAACCGAAAGGUCGCCAUCACCAUAGUUGAAGACACCAAGUUCCAUCCGAUAUUCGAGCGAUAUUGCCGGCCGGCUUGCUAUGUCGACGAGCAUUACUUCCCGACGAUGCUCACCAUUCAAGCAGCAAAUGUUUUGGCCAACAGAAGCAUAACUUGGGUGGACUGGUCUAGGGGUGGAGCUCACCCAGCAACAUUUGGAAGAAAUGACAUCACUGAGGAGUUUUUCAACAGAGUACGAGGAGGUCAUACAUGUUUGUACAACAAUAGAAACUCUUCUGUUUGUGUGCUUUUCGCCAGAAAAUUUGCUCCCAGUGCUUUGGAACCUUUGUUACAGAUGGUUGAUUCAAAGGUAUUGGAGUAUUGACAUAUACUGUGUUGUUACUUUCCGUUGAAACUUGAGGGAAAAUAGAGAUGUAGAAUAAAGUGCUUAGAUAUACUAGCGAGAUUUAUCAUAUGGCUUGUGACAUCUGUCAACAUCCAAUUUCUUCGAGAUUUAUCAUAUGACUUAUGACAAUUAUCAACAUUCAAUUUCGUCAAGAUAAUUGCAUUGUUAGAGAGUGCUAGGUGAUAGAGUGACCCCAUUUCAUACACAAGUUGAGUCAUUUUUGAAUGUACAAAAGAGACAUGUUUGAUCAUACUUUUGUUUAAUAUUAACUUCAUGGAUCUUUGUUCUUCUCUUUUUUAUAUUUUAAGGUUUUUACAGAUUGGAGAUUAUGACACGAUCGGUCAACCCUCUUCUCCUUAAUUUGACAAAAAUGAGAGAGAUAUGAAAAAUAAUGGAAGCACAAAAAAAGUAUUCUCAUGAAACAGUAAAGACUGAAACUUUUGAACUCAGUGUAAGGAAAUUGAUUAAAACUAUUGUUUUAUGAAACUUAGAAAAUACACUAAUUUUUAGACUACCUCUUUAAUUUGAAAUCUAAACAUGAUGUUUUUUUUUUCUUUUUUACGUUUCUGGUUUAUUUUUUAAGAGACUAUUAUGAAAUGAGAUAUGUGUAAGGUGAAGUCAUGUUUUAAAAUAUAAUUUCGAUUAUUUUUAAGACUUAGGUGUUUUUUUUUUUUUUUUGAAAAUUAAAAUUAAAGUCCUGCUUUAGAAUAUGUUUUUUUAGAAGUUGUGUUUUAAAAUUUAGCUUCUUUAUUCGAAGUGUAUUUUAAAAUUCAGCUUUUCUGUUUGUUGAAUUUUAAAAUGGUUUAAUAGGUUCGGAGGUCCUUAUAUUUGGAGGUUUGUUUCAAUUGGAUCCUCCAAUUUUUGAAGUGAUCAAUUAGGUCUCUAAUUUUGUCAAUUUGAAUCAAUAAAAGUCUUUCUAUUAAAUGCAGUUAACACCGUGAAGUUUUUGAACAUGUGGCACGCUGACGUUUCCAGGUGACAUCGUUUGAAGUGCAUAGGUGGAUUAUAAAAGGGUGAAAUCCCUAAAUUAAAAGGAUGAAAUCCCUAAAUUAAAAGGGUGUAUUUGAAGGUAAAAUCCCUAAAUUAAAAGGGAUUUCACCCUUUUAUAAUCCACCUAUGCACUUGAAACGGUGNCACCUGGAAGCGUCAGCGUGCCACAUGUUCAAAAACUUCACGUUAACUGCAUUUAACUUUUAUUGAUUCAAAUUGACAAAAUUAAGGACCUAAUUGAUUACUUUCAAAAUUGGAGGACCCAAUUGAAACCCCCAAAUAUAGGGAUCUCCGAACCUAUUAAAUCUUUUAAAAUAGGAUCUAUUGUUGAAUUUUAAAGUCACGUUUUUAAAAAACUACAUCAAAAACAUAAAGUGUUUAUUUGACAGAAAUGAAAGAAACAAAGGGGUGGUAGAGAAGAGAACAAGUAACAUGUCAGAUGAAUGAAAAUAGAGAUUGUUUGAUUUGAAAAACAAUAUCUACAUAUUAUUCAUUAUUUAUAUUGCAUUUUUCUUUUGUAGAUUGUUAUUUUACUUCUUAAAAGUUUAGGCACGCACUAAUAUCAUAAAGAAAAGUGUCAAAUUUGUUUUAUUCAGACUUGUUAUCAUAGGGAAAAACUGAAAAAUAAAUAAAAAUAAAGAUAUUAAUAAUCAAAUUUAAAAUUUAAUAUUUGGCGUGGUGUUGUGGUGUCAUGUCCAGUGAUCCCAAUGAAAAAGUAAACUUCAUCAAUCACACGGAAUUCGAAGCUGUUUUUUUUUUUUUUUCUCUUGAAGAAAUACAAGGUUAACAUGUAACGUUAGAAGAUUCCACAAUUUCUUGCCUGAUUAAGAUGCAACCCAGAGCUCAAAAGCUCAUCUGGAAGAGAACAGUCAAUUUAUACAUCAAGAAAAUGUUUACACAGCAAACCAGUUUUCUACUUUGUCACUUCAAAAGUAGCUCGAAGAUCGGAUAUCAUGACUGGGCAUUCUCCCUUCUCGUCAUAGUCAGCAUAUUCUCCACUUGACAAGUCAACAUUCUCAAAUUUGGUUCCCUCAAGCUUCAAAAUUCAGCUUGCAUUAGUCAGAUAUGACCAACAUGCAGAAAAUUAUGAUAUUACCAAAAUUAUAGGACGUGUUAAAAAUAUGGCUAUAGGGUUAAAUUACAGGUUUCUGCACCAGGAAAAUAUAGCACUGUACAAUUUCGAAUGAAAUUUUAUUCAAGAGGGUAGAAAAGGGCUGUGUCUUGCAAAUUGUGAUGAUCGAAACUAUUUAGAAACUAAUCACUCUCCCAUAUGUAAUUAUAGGUUUAAUUUUUUAAGACUGGAAUAGAAGAUUUUGAGAUUAAUCACAUCAAAUUCAUCCCAGUUUUUAAGUUCUUAGAAAAACAUUACAGACAUCGUUUCCAGUAUUGAUAACAGUGAACAAAAUAAAUUGAAUCAUUAACAGUAAGCAUCAAACCAAAACAAAGGAAGCACAUGUUUCAAUGCAGAAGAGUGGGUAUAAUGAGAUAUUUACAAUGCCCAGCAUAUAUAUCAGCAACACUGAAUAAUCAGAAGAGAUCGGACACAUGAUGCCAUUAAGCUAACGUAUUUGUUUUCAAUAGAGGAAAGUGAGUAGAUGAACUAUAUAUACAAUACAAACUCAUAUGCUUACAUGUCAGAAGCAACAAUGAACAAUCAAAAGAGACCAAAUGAUGUGACAACAAAAAAAAUGGAAACAUAGAAUGAAAUUAAAAAGGAUACUCACCGAUUCAACUUUCCAUCCAUCACCGAAUACAAAAUCUACUGGUUCAUAGCCCCUGCAGUCAAAUAACAUCAAUGGGGCGUACUUCCCUGAUUCACUGAUUUCCUGGGUGAGUGGUUUACCUUUGCCUUCGAUCAUGGUUACAGUGCCAUCCCUGCCACAAAAUUUGCACUACAUACCAAAUAAAGGAUACUAAGAAACCACCAGCUGCAGGAGCAAAGAGUUUAAAGAAGCACAAAUGAAAGGAAACACUGUAUUGAGUGCUUAUCAUUUUAAAGCUAUGCAGCAGAAUCACAUAAAAUUUUUAGAACCUUUCCUAAUACGUCAGAGACAGAAAAAUAACCACAUCAGUAAAAGCCCAAUCAUGCUAAACGAAUAGAAUUCUGCUCAGUUGGUGUUUCUUUAAUGCACUUGGGUCAUAUUUGGAUAAAAUUAUCCAUAAGUAUUUAUAAGAGAAAACAUAAUCAGGUAAAAGAAUUAAGCUUCUCACAUAAACUUCAACAGAAAGCUCUUUUCAUUUAACUUUUCAAAAGCCUAAGGCACAUAAGUUCGUUCGUUUUAGAUUAUAGAGAAGUUCAAGUCAUUUUACAUUUUACCUCUUUUUUCAACUACAAAUAUUUAUAGAGAAGUUUAUCCAAAUAUAGUUUUAUUUCACCUAAUAGAAAAAAAAAAGUCGAUGAACCCUAACAGUGAAGAUGCAAAUUCUAGUAUAGUGGAGAGUUUCACUUGUCUUUUCUACCGUUCAUAAAUACAUCAUAAAAGGGACACACUUAAAAAUUAUAUAUCUCUAAAAGUAAACACGUAGCAUUAUGAAUUGAGAAAAACUGUUUUUUGAUAGCCAAUGAGAAAAAGAUUUUAUGCACUAACAGUAUAAGAUCACUUCAAUGGUAUGUUUACAUUGUGCACUAUCUUUCAAACAUUAACGAAACUAAGUUUGUUACUUUUCCCCAUAGUCAUCUUAAAACUCAAACCAGCAACAGUUUAUGAUUGGAUAACGAUGUAAAACUAUUUUAAAGGUGUGCAUGAUUACUAAAUUCUUGUCAACAUAUACAAAGAUGAAAAUCACAAGAGGUUCCUAAGGCCAUUAAUUCCGAUGAGGAAUGCUGAGAUAAAUUUUAUCAGAAAUCAUCAGAAGAGACUAAUUCAAAAAGUAGCCAAAUUUUGUGAUUACCAAUAAACUAUGUGAGAGUAAUAAGAACUUGAACUGAUAAAUGUGUAAGAGACUCAUGCGAGAAUCAAUCACAAUCUUUCAGGGACUAUUAAAUAAACGGAUUUAUUGAAUUGGGAAAUGAAAAAACUAUUGAUGAAACGCGAGCAAAGGGUGAAUCAAUUAGGUUACCUUUUGAAUGAGAUGAGUGGUGCCCUUUCCAACCGGAAGAGGAACGGUGUCGUUUAAGAGGACGCAUGUUUCUUUCUGGCUGAUUUCUCCGCAUCUCCCACAUUUCAACUAUUGAUUGCAACAACAGAACGAAAAUGAAGAUCUGAAAGAAACUAAAAAAAGUUGAAUUUGAUAAAUUGGAAGAGAUGAAGGAGAUAGAAAGAAACCUUGAAAAAGUAGGAGAAAUUGGGAUCAUCGCAGCCACCUUGGG
rnacentral:lncRNA from 1 species